AAGAUGACAGCCUCACUAGAUAUCCUGAGAGUGGUGGAUGGACCGGAUUCAUAGGGAACCCUACCGUGAACGUUGUCUCAUCCCGGACGGGGUAUGGAGACUUGGUCAUUUGACGCUCAUACCGGACGGGGUAUGAGGACGACCUACUUCACCCUCAUACGAAACGGGGUAUUGAGUUUUAAUGUCUUGGCGCUCAUACCGGACAGGGUAUGGGGACGGCAUUAAAAUUAAGAUUGUUAAGGAAAAUGGUUCAGGUAUAGUGGGGACACCCCUAUGGAUCCCCAUGAAUACUAGUAAGCUGGUGAAACGAGAAACGUUGAUGAUUAGUUAUUGUUAAUGCAUACGAAUUUACGAUAUGUUCUAUGUUACUGAUUAUGCAUGAAAUUGUGAUCUGUAUAAUAUUAUUGCUUCUAUAAUU
rnacentral:lncRNA from 1 species